CGGCUCAGUAACACGUGGACAACCUACCCUAUGGAGGGGGAUAACCCCGGGAAACUGGGGAUAAUACCCCAUAGACUAUAGAUGCUGGAAUGCUUUGUAGUUGAAAGGUCCGCCGCCAUAGGAUGGGUCUGCGGCCGAUUAGGUUGUUGUUGGGGUAACGGCCCAACAAGCCUGUAAUCGGUACGGGUUGUGGGAGCAAGAGCCCGGAGAUGGAUUCUGAGACACGAAUCCAGGCCCUACGGGGCGCAGCAGGCGCGAAAACUUUACAAUGCGGGAAACCGUGAUAAGGGAACUCCGAGUGCCCGUAAAAUCGGGCUGUCUAUCUGUUUAAAUAACAGGUGAAGAAAGGGCCGGGCAAGACCGGUGCCAGCCGCCGCGGUAAUACCGGCGGCUCGAGUGGUGGCCACUAUUACUGGGCUUAAAGCGUUCGUAGCUGGUCUGUUAAGUCUCUGGGGAAAUCUACUGGCUUAACCAAUAGGCGUCUCAGGGAUACUGGCAGACUAGGGACCGGGAGAGGUGAGAGGUACUCCAGGGGUAGGAGUGAAAUCCUGUAAUCCUUGGGGGAC
rnacentral:rRNA from 1 species